AACGAAGGCUGGCGGCAUGCCUAACACAUGCAAGUCGAACGAGACCUUCGGGUCUAGUGGCGCACGGGUGCGUAACGCGUGGGAACCUGCCCUUAGGUUCGGAAUAACUCCCCGAAAGGGGUGCUAAUACCGGAUAAUGUCUUCGGACCAAAGAUUUAUCGCCUUUGGGUGGGCCCGCGUUGGAUUAGCUAGUUGGUAGGGUAAAAGCCUACCAAGGCGACGAUCCAUAGCUGGUCUGAGAGGAUGAUCAGCCACACUGGGACUGAGACACGGCCCAGACUCCUACGGGAGGCAGCAGUGGGGAAUAUUGGAAAAUGGGCGAAAGCCUGAUCCAGCAAUGCCGCGUGAGUGAUGAAGGCCUUAGGGUUGUAAAGCUCUUUUACCCGGGAUGAUAAUGACAGUACCGGGAGAAUAAGCACCGGCUAACUCCGUG
rnacentral:rRNA from 1 species